CAGUAGCCGCGGUAAUACGGAGGGUGCAAGCGUUAAUCGGAAUUACUGGGCGUAAAGCGCACGCAGGCGGUUUGUUAAGUCAGAUGUGAAAUCCCCGAGCUUAACUUGGGAACUGCAUUUGAAACUGGCAAGCUAGAGUCUUGCAGAGGGGGGUAGAAUUCCAGGUGUAGCGGUGAAAUGCGUAGAGAUCUGGAGGAAUACCGGUGGCGAAGGCGGCCCCCUGGACAAAGACUGACGCUCAGGUGCGAAAGCGUGGGGAGCAAACAGGAUUAGAUACCCCAGUAGUCCCUGUCUCUUAUAC
rnacentral:rRNA from 1 species